UGGGGAAUAUUGGACAAUGGGCGCAAGCCUGAUCCAGCAAUGCCGCGUGUGUGAAGAAGGCCUUCGGGUUGUAAAGCACUUUUAUCAGGAGCGAAAUCUGCAGGGCUAAUACCCAUGCAGUCUGACGGUACCUGAGGAAUAAGCACCGGCUAACUCCGUGCCAGCAGCCGCGGUAAUACGGAGGGUGCAAGCGUUAAUCGGAAUUACUGGGCGUAAAGCGUGCGUAGGCGGUUCGUUAAGUCUGCUGUGAAAGCCCCGGGCUCAACCUGGGAAUGGCAGUGGAUACUGGCGAGCUAGAGUGUGAUAGAGGAUGGUGGAAUUCCCGGUGUAGCGGUGAAAUGCGUAGAGAUCGGGAGGAACAUCAGUGGCGAAGGCGGCCAUCUGGAUCAACACUGACGCUGAGGCACGAAAGCGUGGGGAGCAAACA
rnacentral:rRNA from 1 species